rnacentral:tRNA from 1 species
GCCUUCAUGGUGUAAUGGUCAGCACACUGAGCCGGUAUUUCAGAGGUCCGCGGUUCGAUCCCCGGCGAAGGUG